ACUGCUAUUUGGGUGAGGAUAAGCCAUGCGAGUUGGAUGGGAUACCCAAAGUUCCCAUAGCAAACUGCUUAGUAACACAUGAUCAACUUGCCCUAUGGAGAAAACUAACCUCGGGAAACUGAGGAUAAUGUUUCAUAGUUGAAUAGGCUUGGAAAAGUUUUUCAAUGAAAGGAAUAAGAUAAAUGGUUCUUAUUUGCCAUAGGAUAGGAUCGUGGUCGAUUGUGGUAGUUGGUGAGAUAACGGCUCACCAAGCCGAUAAUCGAUAGGGGCCGUGAGAGCGGGAGCCCCAAGAUGGGUACUGAGACAGCACCCAGGCCUUACGAGGCGCAGCAGGCGCGAGACCUCCGCAAUACACGAAAGUGUGACGGGGUUACCCAAAGUGUUCUCUUAAGAACUGUGGCAGGUGAGUAAUGUCCCCUGCUAGAAAGGAGAGGGCAAGGCUGGUGCCAGCCGCCGCGGUAAAACCAGCUCUUCAAGUGGUCGGGAUAAUUAUUGGGCUUAAAGUGUCCGUAGCCGGUUUAGUAAGUUCCUGGUAAAAUCGGGUAGCUUAACUAUCUGCAUGCUAGGAAUACUGCUAUACUAGAGGGCGGGAGAGGUCUGAGGUACUACAGGGGUAGGGGUGAAAUCUUAUAAUCCUUGUAGGACCACCAGUGGCGAAGGCGUCAGACUGGAACGCGCCUGACGGUGAGGGACGAAAGCCAGGGGAGCGAACCGGAUUAGAUACCCGGGUAGUCCUGGCCGUAAACGAUGCAUACUAGGUGAUGGUACGGCCAUGAGCCGUAUCAGUGCCGUAGGGAAACCGUUAAGUGUGCCGCCUGGGAAGUACGGUCGCAAGGCUAAAACUUAAAGGAAUUGGCGGGGGAGCACCACAAGGGGUGAAGCCUGCGGUUCAAUUGGACUCAACGCCGGGAAACUUACCAGGGGAGACAGCAGAAUGAGGGUCAGGUUGACGACCUUACCUGAUGAGCUGAGAGGAGGUGCAUGGCCGUCCCCAGUUCGUGCUGUGAGGUAUCCUGUUAAGUCAGGCAACGAACGAGAUCCGCACCUUUAUUUGCCGACAAGAAGUUACGACUUCGUUGGGAACACUAAAGGGACCGCCGUCGAUAAGACGGAGGAAGGAGCGGGCAAAGGCAGGUCAGUAUGCCCCGAAACCCCUGGGCUACACGCGGGCUGCAAUGGUAUGAACAAUGGGCUGUAACUCCGAAAGGAGAAACCAAUCCCGAAAUCAUAUCACAGUGGGGAUUGUUGGCUGUAACCCGCCGACAUGAACGUGGAAUCCCUAGUAAUCGUGUGUCAUCAUCGCACGGUGAAUACGUCUCUGCUCCUUGCACACACCGCCCGUCGCUCCAUCCGAGUGUACUAAAAAUGAGGUUUGGUCAGACUGGUCAUAUCGAGUUUCUAGUAUGCGAGGAGGGAGAAGUCGUAACAAGGUA
rnacentral:rRNA from 1 species